CCUACGGGAGGCAGCAGUGAGGAAUAUUGGUCAAUGGACGCAAGUCUGAACCAGCCAUGCCGCGUGCAGGAAGACGGCUCGAUGAGUUGUAAACUGCUUUUGUACGAGGGGAAAGCGCGAUACGUGUAUCGGGUUGAAAGUAGCGUACGAAUAAGGAUCGGCUAACUCCGUGCCAGCAGCCGCGGUAAUACGGAGGAUUCAAGCGUUAUCCGGAGUGAUUGGGGUUAACGGGUGCGUAGGCGGUUCGAUAAGUUAGAGGUGAAAUCCCGGGGCUCCACUCCGGCACUGCCUCUGAUACGGGCGGGCUAGAGUUUAGUUGCGGUAGGCGGAAUGUAUGGUGUAGCGGU
rnacentral:rRNA from 1 species